rnacentral:rRNA from 1 species
UACAGAGGUCUCAAGCGUUGUUCGGAUUCAUUGGGCGUAAAGGGUGCGUAGGUGGCGCGGUAAGUCGGGUGUGAAAUCUCGGAGCUUAACUCCGAAACUGCAUUCGAUACUGCCGUGCUUGAGGACUGGAGAGGAGACUGGAAUUUACGGUGUAGCGGUGAAAUGCGUAGAUAUCGUAAGGAAGACCAGUGGCGAAGGCGGGUCUCUGGACAGUUCCUGACGCUGAGGCACGAAGGCCAGGGGAGCAAACGGG